rnacentral:rRNA from 1 species
UACGUAGGGACCGAGCGUUGUCCGGAUUCAUUGGGCGUAAAGAGCUCGUAGGCGGCUGCUCAAGUCGGAUGUGAAAACCCAGGGCUCAACCCUGGGCCUGCAUUCGAUACGGGCAGACUAGAGUUCGGUAGGGGAGACUGGAAUUCCUGGUGUAGCGGUGAAAUGCGCAGAUAUCAGGAGGAACACCGGUGGCGAAGGCGGGUCUCUGGGCCGAAACUGACGCUGAGGAGCGAAAGCGUGGGGAGCAAACAGG